GUCACCUCUCCAGAGUGAUUCUCAUUGAGCUUCGCCAGGAAGUUGAGCUGUUUGAAGUCAAUGCCGGAGUGUUUGUUCAGAGUCCCAUUUCCUGAGAGUACGGGCAGGUCAGGUACUUCCCUCUAACCAGGCUCCCUCUCACCCAGCCCCAGGAGCCCAGGAUUAUUCUCUAUCACCACCCCUCCCCUCACAACUGACUCACGGGGCCGAGUGCGGGUAGUCCCCUUCCAGAAUGUGUCCUUGUAUGGAAUACGGUUCAGAUUCUGGCCCAUCUUCUCUGCCCGCUCUAAGGAAGAAAGACAAACAGUCUUGACCUCAGCUGUUGUGUGGUGGGAGGAGAUAGGCUGAAACAUGAUAAGACAUGAGCGGUGGGUGGGGACAGACCUCGGAGAAGCUCUCUCAAGGGUGCCUUGGCUUUGUCCACAGGCAUCUCUCCAUACUUGUUACAGAUGCUGACAAGGGCCCCAUUAGCCACGAGGUCCUGGAAUUAAAAGGUGGCUGUGAUGAGGGCAGUCACAACCAACCAUCAAUGUAGAUGCAGUACAAACCCUGUGAAUGUCAGCACCCUUUGAAGAAUUAUAUGAAAAACGGAAGGAGUGACUGCGAAUUAUGGAGAAAUAGCAUAGAAGCCUAAUGGAAAACUGUAAAGCCUGGAUGAAGAUGACAGUCCAAGCUAUCACCACUUCUGGUGCCACUCUUCACAUCACCACCUGCUCUUCACAAAGCAUCCAAGAUGACACUUAACAAAUGGACAGUCUCAUCAUAUCAUUACAUGGCUUUAAACCCUUGUUCUUGGAAUA